ACGAACGCUGGCGGCGUGCCUAAUACAUGCCAGUAGAACGCUGAAGAGAGGAGCUUGCUCUUCUUGGAUGAGUUGCGAACGGGUUAGUAACGCGUAGGUAACCUGCCUUGUAGCGGGGGAUAACUAUUGGAAACGAUAGCUAAUACCGCAUAACAAUGGAUGACACAUGUCAUUUAUUUGAAAGGGGCAAUUGCUCCACUACAAGAUGGACCUGCGUUGUAUUAGCUAGUAGGUGAGGUAAUGGCUCACCUAGGCGACGAUACAUAGCCGACCUGAGAGGGUGAUCGGCCACACUGGGACUGAGACACGGCCCAGACUCCUACGGGAGGCAGCAGUAGGGAAUCUUCGGCAAUGGGGGCAACCCUGACCGAGCAACGCCGCGGGAGGGAAGAAGGUUUUCGGAUCGUAAAGUUCUGUUGUAAGUCAAGAACGGGUGUGAGAGUGGAAAGUUCACACUGUGACGGUAGCUUACCAGAAAGGGACGGCUAACUACGUG
rnacentral:rRNA from 1 species